CAGGGAGACAACAAAAUGUUUAAUAUUAUUUUGUCACCUUAGGUCGAUCGGUAUCUCACGUUCUUAAUUAAUUAAGAAUUUCAAUUCCUAAGUUUUUCUAGGUCACACCCAUUAUUUUUCCUGGGCCAUUAGCUCAGGUGGUUAGAGCGCACCCCUGAUAAGGGUGAGGUCCCUGGUUCAAGUCCAGGAUGGCCCAUAUCUCUAUGUUGGGGGUAUAGCUCAGUUGGUAGAGCGCCUGCUUUGCAAGCAGGAUGUCAGCGGUUCGAGUCCGCUUACCUCCACUGAUUACCACCUCUUCCAUAAUCUGUAGAAAGGAAAUUUUUUGAGUUGUGAUCAACUUCUGAGCGAAUCUAGCUUCCUAAUGAAAUCAUUAAGAUGCUGGACUCAUUGAAUUAAUUUCAUUGUUUUCAGAGAACCUUGACAACUGCAUAGAUUAUUUUUUAAAGACAAUAAGCAUCUUUAAUGAUGCAGAUUUAUUAUUUGUGCGAAUGCAUUAAUAACAAUUCUAUUAAGCUGAUGCUUCAAUUUUGAAGUUAUU
rnacentral:tRNA from 1 species